CAGUGGAGGGCAGAUCCAUAGGGCAGAGUGGAGGGCAGAUCCAUAGGGCAGAGUGGAGGGCAGAGUGGAGGGCAGAGUGGAGGGCAGAUCCAUAGGACAGAGUGGAGGGCAGAUCCAUAGGGCAGAGUGGAGGGCAGAUCCAUAGGGCAGAGUGGAGGGCAGAGAGGAGGGCAGAUCCAUGGAGGGCAGAGUGGAGGGCAGAUCCAUAGGGCAGAGUGGAGGGCAGAGUGGAGGGCAGAUCCAUAGGGCAGAGUGGAGGGCAGAUCCAUAGGGCAGAGUGGAGGGCAGAUCCAUAGGGCAGAUCCAGAGGGAGGGCAGAUCCAUAGGGCAGAGUGGAGGGCAGAUCCAUAGGGUGGAGAGUGGAGGGCAGAUCCAUAGGGCAGAGUGGAGGGCAGAUCCAUAGGGCAGAGUGGAGGGCAGAUCCAGGGCAGAGUGGAGGGCAGAUCCAUAGGGCAGAGUGGAGCAGAUCCAUAGGGCAGAGUGGAGGGCAGAUCCAUAGGGCAGAGUGGAGGGCAGAGUGGAGGGCAGAUCCAUAGGGCAGAGUGGAGGGCAGAGUGGAGGGCAGAUCCAUAGGGCAGAGUGGAGGGCAGAUCCAUAGGGCAGAGUGGAGGGCAGAGUGGAGGGCAGAUCCAUAGGACAGAGUGGAGGGCAGAUCCAUAGGGCAGAGUGGAGGGCAGAUCCAUAGGGCAGAGUGGAGGGCAGA
ensembl:lncRNA